ACCAGACUCCUACGGGAGGCAGCAGUGGGGGAUAUUGCACAAUGGGGGGAACCCUGAUGCAGCGACGCCGCGUGGGUGAAGAAGCGCCUCGGCGCGUAAAGCCCUGUCAGCAGGGAAGAAAAUGACGGUACCUGAAGAAGAAGCCCCGGCUAACUACGUGCCAGCAGCCGCGGUAAUACGUAGGGGGCAAGCGUUAUCCGGAUUUACUGGGUGUAAAGGGGGCGCAGACGGCGAUGCAAGCCAGGAGUGAAAGCCCGGGGCCCAACCCCGGGACUGCUCUUGGAACUGCGUGGCUGGAGUGCAGGAGGGGCAGGCGGAAUUCCUGGUGUAGCGGUGAAAUGCGUAGAUAUCAGGAGGAACACCGGUGGCGAAGGCGGCCUGCUGGACUGCAACUGACGUUGAGGCCCGAAAGCGUGGGGAGCAAACAGGAUUAGAUACCCCGGUAGUU
rnacentral:rRNA from 1 species